UGAAUUACAUAAGGAAUUUUUUUACAUUUUCAUUUUAUUAUAUUUCGUGCAGCUAAAAAUAUUUAGUAGUAUUAAAUAUGUUAUUAGUGUAACAAUUAAUAAUAAUCCACGGAUGCUAAGUUGCUAACGCUACUAACAAGACGGCGGCGGGGUGGGGAACGCGGAGAGGAAGAUUCUUGACUCAGGUCCCGAGUUAACUUGACCGGGUUGUUUGUCAUACGGCCGCUUUCAAUAAUCUAUCUAUCCUUAGUUUAACUUACUAGAGGUAGACAAAUCUAUCCUUUUACGCUUACGUAUAUUUCAAUAGCCUAUCGACAGAUAGCAUUGGACUAUAAUAUGGAUAUAUAAGAUCUUGUCAUUAAACGGUGUUAGCAAUAUAUCCGUAGCUAGAGAUAUGUUAUUGAAAACGGCCGUAUUACUAUAUUGGAUAUAACUAUGGAUAGAUAAGAUUUUGUUAUUAAACGGUGAUUGCAAAUCCGUAUCUAGAGGUACGUUAUUGAAAACGGCCGUAAAUUGAUUGGCUUGUAUUUUUGUGGUCAUGCAAUAGUAACACAACAUUUAUAAUUGUUUAUUAAUUAUUAUUGUUGGGAAUCAGAUUAGAAAGUACAAAUGUAUUUAAGUUUAGUAUUGAUUUUCAAUUAAAUUAUGAGACUAAUCAAUAACUGUAAACAUUGUUUCAUAAAUUAUAAUUAUGUACAUGUAUUAUGCCUUUCUACCUAUGAUUAUCAAUAACAGUAUAAUCAGAGAUUUUUUUUAUGUUAUAAUAUAUAAUUUGUUCAUUUAAUUUAUAAAUACAAUAUUUUGGUAGUUAGGUAGAUACUUAGAGUAAGGAUUGGUCUCCGCUGCGCUCCAACUAAUACUACGCCCAAGUGGGCGUACUCGAGCCAGUCUCCAUCAAUGUGUGACGUUGACGUGCCACCUGGUCAGUUAAACUUUGCUAAUAAUUGUAACUAAAAUGCCGGGUUGUGUAGUAAAACUUUGUAAAAAUAAUACUACAAAAGAUAAGUAAGACACAAGGAUCACAUAAUAUCAUCAGUAAGUAUUUUGUAUUUUAUUAAUUACAAUGUAAAAAUAUAAAACGAAGUGUAUGUUACAAAAUUUUGAAGAUACCAUUGAGUGUGUCGAGAUAUCACGAACACAAGCAUCUAAUAGUUGCUUUAAUAAAAAAGCUAUAGUUUUUAGGUAGUGCGGUAUCUAUUUGGAGCCUAGGGGAGACCAAUCCUUAAUCUAAGUGUAGGUAUGAUAUUUACUCUUUUUAUUUGUAUGUAUUUCGUAUAGUAAAUAUAAUAUUUUAUUAUUUGAAUCGGAUAUGAUAUUGGUUUUUUCUCCAUAUUAUUAAUAACUGAUUUCUUAGUAAAAUGCCUUAUUGUGGACUUUAUUUGUAAAUAUAAUGUUAUCAUUAUUUAAAAGUCUACGAUUACAAAGUAGAUAAUUUAUACGUCUAGAUACAGCCUCUUGCUGGUAAACAACCGAUGAAAACAGGCCAGGUUUACUACUUUAGUGUGCGUGACAUGCCACGUCUUACACUCGCGAUUUUUGUCACUUUAUGUUAGUGUGCAUUGCUCAAGAUAGAGGUUAACUGUCAAUUUCUUUCGACAGUUCUCGCAACUGUCAGUAUCUAGACGUUUAACCUAAGUUUGUAAGUAUGUAGUUACAGUGUCACCAACUUAUCUGUGAACUGAUGGGUGUCGCCAUCGUCUUUUAGUGUUGCUAAUUAAUUCCAAUGUGCACAAAAGUCGGGGCAUAUUUAACACUUAAAUUUCUGAAGUAUCGCAAUAAAACACACGGAACACUCGAAAGUAGUAGACACUGACAGUCGAAUGACAUUUCAACGUGGCGACCGUAGUUCCUAUUUUUGGCACUUCAGAGAUAAGUUGGUAUUUCUAUACACAGUGUCUGUACUUUUACCCAGCAAAUUGUUUAUAAUUAGUUUUAUGCUGUUAGCUGUCCGUAAUGAUUAUCUUAUUAUUAUUUUAUAGUUUAAGAGGAAUUUACAGUUCCGACUUAAUGUAAAAACUAAACAAAUGUGAAAUAUUUUAAUAAUAAUAAAAGUAAGUUUAUACUUU